rnacentral:rRNA from 1 species
UACGUAGGCAGCAAGCGUUGUUCGGAGUUACUGGGCGUAAAGGGUGUGUAGGCGGUUUUUUAAGUUUGGUGUGAAAUCUCCCGGCUCAACUGGGAGGGUGCGCCGAAUACUGAGGGACUAGAGUACGGGAGAGGAAAGUGGAAUUCCUGGUGUAGCGGUGAAAUGCGCAGAUAUCAGGAGGAACACCUAUGGCGAAGGCAGCUCUCUGGGACGGUACUGACGCUGAGACGCGAAAGCGUGGGGAGCGAACAGG